UACGAAGGGGGCUAGCGUUGCUCGGAAUUACUGGGCGUAAAGCGCACGUAGGCGGCUUUCUAAGUCGGGGGUGAAAUCCUGGAGCUCAACUCCAGAACUGCCUUCGAUACUGGAAAGCUCGAGUCCGGGAGAGGUGAGUGGAACUGCGAGUGUAGAGGUGAAAUUCGUAGAUAUUCGCAAGAACACCAGUGGCGAAGGCGGCUCACUGGCCCGGUACUGACGCUGAGGUGCGAAAGCGUGGGGAGCUAACAGG
rnacentral:rRNA from 1 species